CCUACGGGUGACAGCAGUGGGGGAUAUUGCUCAAUGGGGGAAACCCUGAUCCAGCGACGCCGCGUGAGUGAAGAAGUAUCUCGGUAUGUUAAGCUCUUUUAGCAGGGAAGAAAAUGACAGUACCUGACCAAGAAGCCCCGGCUAACUACGUGCAAGCAGCCGUGGUAAGACGGAGGGGGCAAGCGUUAUCCGGAUUUACUGGGUGUAAAGGGAGCGUAGACGGUUUUGUAAGUCUGGAGUGAAAGCCCGGGGCCCAACCCCGGGACUGCUUUUGAAACUGUGUAACUGGAGUACAGGAGGGGCAGGCGGAAUUCGUGGUGUAGCGGUGAAAUGCGUAGAUAUCAGGAAGAACACCGACGGCGAAGGCAGCCUGCUGGACUGAAACUGACGUUGAGGCUCGAAAGCGUGGGUAGCAAACAGGAUUAGAUACCCUGGUAGUC
rnacentral:rRNA from 1 species